UUUUUUUUCUUUUUUCCACUAUCGAUGUCCUGCCUCCACAGGAGCUAGUGCAGACAAGAGUUGACUUAACAAGAGUCAACUGAGAGAGGAGUCCUCUCUCUUUACAUGACUUCAUCCUAUUUUGGCACCUGUUGAAAAGUGAAUCCUGAUGAUGGGAUCUCAGCCAUUUUCUUUGUCUACUAACAUAGAAUCCUUUCAAAGACUAUUCCCAGAUUCAUGUUUUGUCUCUGAGCUUUCGAGCUGCUGUGUGGCUUAGUAGUUAAUAGCUAAUAGUGCAGGUAUCUUUUCAGAGCUUUGGUCUUCUCAGAAAAGGAAAAAAUCUUAAGCUACCUCCCAACAUUUUCAUCAAAGAAAGAAACUAACUACCUUCCUAAAUUUUAAGAUUGUAGCCCUAGAACUCUCAUUUCUUUAUGGUGAUAUGGAGGUGAGAGAAAAAAUAAAAAAAAAGAAUAGCUAUCAUUUGCAUAUCCAUUAAACCAUUCUUUUCAACAAUGCAUAAGUUUUCCUCCAUCUCAAUUAUGUUUCAUCAAACUACAUAUGAAAGGGCAGCCCUGGUGGCACAGCAGUUUAGAGCCACCUUUGGUCCAGGGUGUGAUCCUGGAGACCCGGGAUGAAGUCCCACGUCGGGCUCCCUGCAUGGAACCUGCUUUUUUCUCUGCCUGUGUAUCUACCUCUCUCUCUGUGUGUGUGUGUGUGUGUGUCUCUCAUGAGUAAAAAAAUAAAAUCUUAAGAAAAAACUAUGUAUGAAACAACCCUAUAAACAUUCUAAUCUACUCCAUCCAAGGGUAGUGGGUAUUAUACUAAACUUCUUAUAAAAUAUUUUUUGUUAUCACAGUUUUUAGAUACAGAGGAUUAUACCUUUGAACCAAACAACAUCAUUGGAAAGUGGAUAUAGUCAUUCUCCCACAGAAGGGGAAAAAAACCCCAACACUGUGACAUUAUUAUGCCAAAACUGGAAAAAAACCCAAAAACAAAAGAUGGGUACAGCAGGAAUUCUAAUUUGCGUUUGUUUAUUGGAUUUUACUUUCACCACCUAACUGAUAUUUCAAUUCAAUUUAUAUUGAAGAUAGUUAUGUGAAAGAUUUGAAUGGUUACUCAUAAAAAAAAGGGAGUCGCUCCUUGUUAGUGAGAUUAUUGUUUUUAUAAGUUGCAGCAAAAGUUCCUUUCAGGGACUAUGUCUUUAGAAGCAAGCAUUAAAGAGUGUGUUGUGUGGAUUCAGCUUGACAUGGUUCCCCAUGGACUUCAGAGUGUGACAUCGCCUUUACCAGCUCAAUAGCUAAACUCCUGGAACAUUAGCUUUGUGUGCUAAAGGCUAAGAGAAUUUGUGGCUGGAGGACAUCUUUCUAAUUUACUCGAGAUUUCCUGAUAACUUUGCCUUUCUGGUUUUUGGCAUCAGUGAUCUAAAUUGACAGAUCAAUUGGGGACAGAAACAUGCACUUGUCAAGUUCUUUCCAAAAGUGAGUCUGAGACCUAAUGCUGCUUCCCAAGAACUGCUGCAGCACUUUUUACGGAAGGUUUCUCUGACUGGGAGUCACUGCAAUAGACUGAUUCAUAAAUAUGGGGCAAGAUGACGGCAUGGUGGUAAAGUCAUGGCAGUACCAUAUGCUAAGUCAAGGAAGUAAAUACCUCUUUUGGCAUUUAAGAAAAUAGUUUUAAACUUCAAGUGAACAAAAAUAAUGGAUAAUACCAUGCCGUGCUCUUUCAGUGCUAUAGGUAAUAGCUCUUAUAAUUAAUCUCCAAACUUAAAAAGAACGAUUAUAAGAGUUUAUACUUAAUGAUUCUGUGGCACAGAAAAAUUAAAAGAAAUUCAGAUAUCCAUCUGAGAAUGCAUUGAGAAGCUAGCUAUUUUUUAUUGAAAAUUAUACGUACCAAUAUCAUAUGUUCCAUCCCACGUUGGAUUGCAUAGUAUAUGCUUAACAGAGCUUGCCUGUCUAAUACAAAAUCCAGUGAGGGGCACCUGGUGGCUCAGUGGUUGAGUGUCUGUCUUUGGCUCAGGUCAUAAUCUGGGGGUCCUGGGAUCGAGUCCCACAUCAGGCUUCCACAGGGAGCCUCUCUCUAUGUCUCUCAUGAAUAAAUAAAUAAAAUCUUAAAAAAAAAAAAGAACAACAAAGUCCAAAGGGGAGGGGAUAGCGCCAUCAAAGCAAUUUGAAAAUGAGAACAAUAAGAUUAUGUGGAGAUAUAGAAAGAAAACUUUUAGAGCAAAUUUCAACUGUCUCCAUUUCUAUGUGACUAAGAUCAAAUCCCCAUCGCCCCUUUACUAGACUACUAUAAGUGGUCCUUCUGCUUCCAUUAGGUGCUGAUGCAAUUUAAUUUCUCCUUGGGGGGGUUUAAGUCAUCUUUCUAAGUAUGGACCAGAUUAUAGUGAAACUUAAGUUGCCAUUGCACUCCACAGAAUAUCCUGUUCUUUUAUGGGUUCCUUUUUUUGGCCCCACCUCUAUAAUUUCAUCUCUGACUACUUUUCCAACUACCCAUUCUAAUCCAGUUAUUCUGAAUAUUUCUGUUUCUAUAACUCUCCAAGCUGACUCUUCACUUCUGUGCCUUUGCAGCUCUUGUGUCCUCUGCAGAGACCCUUUUCC
rnacentral:lncRNA from 1 species